CCAUUUGUACAAAUAUAUUGGUUUUAGGGUUUCAAUUUAUGGGAAACAAAUCAAUCAAUUUCCGAGUUCUGGGUUCAAUUGAGUUUUAGGGUUUGAUACGGAUUGAAUCGGUAACAGAGUUUCAAUUGAAUUUUGGAAAUUCUGAGUUCUAGGGUUCAAAGAGGGGACGAUUGAGAGAAAGAAGGUUUCUGAGUUCGACGGAGAGAAGAAUGGAGGGUUGUUUAGGUGAACAUGUUGGG
rnacentral:lncRNA from 1 species